UACGAAGGGUGCAAGCGUUACUCGGAAUUACUGGGCGUAAAGGGUGCGUAGGUGGUUUUUUAAGUCCGUUGUGAAAUCCCUGGGCUCAACCUGGGAAUGGCAGUGGAUACUGGAAAGCUAGAGUGCGGGAGGGGUGAUUGGAACUCCAGGUGUAGCGGUGAAAUGCGUAGAUAUCUGGAGGAACACCAGAGGCGAAGGCGAAUCACUGGACCGCAACUGACGCUGAGGCGCGAAAGCUAGGGGAGCAAACAGG
rnacentral:rRNA from 1 species